UAGGGAAUCUUCCACAAUGGACGAAAGUCUGAUGGAGCAACGCCGCGUGAGUGAUGAAGGGUUUCGGCUCGUAAAACUCUGUUGUUGGAGAAGAACGGGUGUCAGAGCAACUGUUGACAUCGUGACGGUAUCCAACCAGAAAGCCACGGCUAACUACGUGCCAGCAGCCGCGGUAAUACGUAGGUGGCAAGCGUUGUCCGGAUUUAUUGGGCGUAAAGCGAGCGCAGGCGGUUUUUUAGGUCUGAUGUGAAAGCCUUCGGCUUAACCGGAGAAGUGCAUCGGAAACCGGGAGACUUGAGUGCAGAAGAGGACAGUGGAACUCCAUGUGUAGCGGUGAAAUGCGUAGAUAUAUGGAAGAACACCAGUGGCGAAGGCGGCUGUCUGGUCUGCAACUGACGCUGAGGCUCGAAAGCAUGGGUAGCGAACAGGAUUAGAUACCCUGGUAGUCCAUGCCGUAAACGAUGAGUGCUAAGUGUUGGAGGGUUUCCGCCCUUCAGUGCUGCAGCUAACGCAUUAAGCACUCCGCCUGGGGGAGUACGACCGCAAGGUU
rnacentral:rRNA from 1 species